AACCGAGUAGCUCUAAAAAGUUGUGUAAAUAUUCUGUCCCUUAAGACCAUGCAUAUGUCCCCAGACCUAGUUCUUUUCCUAGGUCUGGUUUUAUAAAUGCUGGUGAUAAAC